rnacentral:rRNA from 1 species
UACGUGAGGGGGCAAGCGUUGUCCGGAUUUAUUGGGCGUAAAGAGCGUGUAGGCGGCUAGGUAGGUCCGUUGUGAAAACUCGAGGCUCAACCUCGAGACGUCGAUGGAAACCAUCUAGCUAGAGUCCGGAAGAGGAGAGUGGAAUUCCUGGUGUAGCGGUGAAAUGCGCAGAUAUCAGGAAGAACACCCGUGGCGAAGGCGGCUCUCUGGUACGUGACUGACGCUGAGACGCGAAAGCGUGGGGAGCGAACAGG